GUUGUGGUUCAGUGGUUAAAGCUUUUGCUUACUAAUUAGAGGGUCAGGGGUUCAAUCCCCAACACCACA